CCGUAUGCUCUCCGUGACUUUUCAAAACAUAUUAACUCAAAGAAAAUGCCUAAACUGCUCCCCCGGGAAAAUAAGUGAUGGUAUUUUUAAGGUAGAGCGCCGUAAGGCGUGAGAAAGGUAUAAUCUGGCAUGGCUGACCCGCAGGCGCGGGAAUGGCUGUCCGAAAUACCGCGCCUGUGCGCGGAGAAUAGGUUACGCCAACGAGGAAUUUACCACGUUUGAUCUACAUGGUAGUGCGGUCCCCUCGAUCGUGAUCGAAAUUUUCUGUGUGACAAUUAUAACCUCUUGGUUUGUGAUUGCUAUAUUCAGCACUUUUAUAAAACAAAGAUAUUGUUGAAUCAAAGGGUAAACAGAGGUUUUACAAGUAAAAAAGAACAAGAAUUUUGUGCAAUUGUAUUGCACAUAUCUGUGUGAUCAUUGAAGCUAACACGAAUUGUCAUCUGUUUACAGACCUCCUUGCUGUUGCAACUCUGAGGACAAUUGCUUCAAAUGGGAAGGAACAACCAGCACUGCCAGCGCUAUUUGUACAUGAGGACACCUCCUUGCUGUUGCAACUCUGAGGACAAUUGCUUCAAAUGGGAAGGAACAACCAGCAGUGCCAGCGCUAUUUGUACAUGAGGACGACGAGAGGGUUCCACUCACCCCCUGUGGGGUGUAUUCUGGCCACAACCUGGAGCAGGCAGAGUUUCUCCACCUCUGUGUCGACAAGGAGUGGCUGUUCAUGGUCAAAAAUGCGGAGGAAGGGGUCAUCGCAAUCAUGAGUGCAUUUUUUGUAUUGAACAUAGUAUAUGGGCCUAAAUACUUCAGCACCAGUGCAGUACUGGAACGAUUGUUUUUUGGUUUGAAUGUAAUAAUGCCAAGUGGUUGUUACAAAGUUUGUGAACAG